AAGAAUCGGGUCUGAGAUCACCUCAGAUGAAGCUUCUAUGGCGAUCCCCCCAAUUGAAUUGCUGGACUCGGAACCCCAGCCAUGGAGAAUUGCAGGUCCCAUGAUCUGACUAUGGAGUGCACGUGUCAGAGCUGGGCCCCUCACCAGGCUUAAAAGUAGCA